rnacentral:rRNA from 1 species
CUCUGAGGGAGCACGCCGCGUGAGUGAUGAAGGUUUUCGGAUCGUAAAACUCUGUUGUUAGGGAAGAACAAGUGCCGUUCGAAAGGGCGGCACCUUGACGGUACCUAACGAGAAAGCCACGGCUAACUACGUGCCAGCAGCCGCGGUAAUACGUAGGUGGCAAGCGUUGUCCGGAAUUAUUGGGCGUAAAGCGCGCGCAGGCGGUCUCUUAAGUCUGAUGUGAAAGCCCCCGGCUCAACCGGGGAGGGUCAUUGGAAACUGGGAGACUUGAGUACAGAAGAGGAGAGUGGAAUUCCACGUGUAGCGGUGAAAUGCGUAGAGAUGUGGAGGAACACCAGUGGCGAAGGCGACUCUCUGGUCUGUAACUGACGCUGAGGCGCGAAAGCGUGGGGAGCAAACAGGAUUAGAUACCCUGGUAGUCCACGCCGUAAACGAUGAGUGCUAGGUGUUAGGGGUUUCGAUGCCCUUAGUGCCGAAGUUAACACAUUAAGCACUCCGCCUGGGGAGUACGACCGCAAGGUUGAAACUCAAAGGAAUUGACGGGGGCCCGCACAAGCAGUGGAGCAUGUGGUUUAAUUCGAAGCAACGCGAAGAACCUUACCAGGUCUUGACAUCCUUUGACCACCCUAGAGAUAGGGCUUUCCCCUUCGGGGGACAAAGUGACAGGUGGUGCAUGGUUGUCGUCAGCUCGUGUCGUGAGAUGUUGGGUUAAGUCCCGCAACGAGCGCAACCCUUGACCUUAGUUGCCAGCAUUCAGUUGGGCACUCUAAGGUGACUGCCGGUGACAAACCGGAGGAAGGUGGGGAUGACGUCAAAUCAUCAUGCCCCUUAUGACCUGGGCUACACACGUGCUACAAUGGAUGGUACAAAGGGUUGCGAAGCCGCGAGGUGAAGCCAAUCCCAGAAAGCCAUUCUCAGUUCGGAUUGCAGGCUGCAACUCGCCUGCAUGAAGCCGGAAUUGCUAGUAAUCGCGGAUCA